UCAUAUUUCAACAUGCAUCUCUUUGGUUCUCAAUUCCUCUUUAUCCAUAGAAAAGCAAAAAAGGACAAGGAAUGGAGGGUCACAGGAAAAACCCACAAUGGCUUCCAACUGUUUGCAAAGAUGCCUAAUGUCUUUGGAAUCGGGAGGUUAAGGCACAACAAAAUGCAGCAAACCUCUUCUCCCUGGGACGCAAAGUACCACAACAUAGCUCUCUGUCUCCCUCAGGACUUUCAUGAGGAAGAGAAGAACUGGGAAAAAGGUGGGGGGACCCUACCUCCACAGCUGGCACAUCUCACACCUAACAGCCUGAGGAGAGGGAGACUGGUCAUGGCGGAAUCACCAGGGUCUGGCUUUGUAAGUGGCUACCUGCCUGACUCUACCUUCCCCACCUGCUCAAUCACAGCAUGGUCUACUUAGCUUUGCCUCAGAGCAAAAGGCAAAAAAUGGACAAAGUUUUUUAGAGUGACCUGUGACUCUUUAUGUCAACUGUGCUAAAUCUGCUUCAAUAACUUUAUUUUUUCAAAUAAAUACUG